GGAGUUAGCCGGUGCUUCUUCUGUGAGUGAUGUCCUUCCUGCCGGUUAUUGACCCGCAGGCCUUCUUCCUCACUGAAAGUGCUUUACAACCCGAAGGCCUUCUUCACACACGCGGCAUGGCUGGAUCAGGGUUGCCCCCAUUGUCCAAUAUUCCCCACUGCUGCCUCCCGUAGGAGUCUGGGCCGUGUCUCAGUCCCAGUGUGGCUGAUCAUCCUCUCAGACCAGCUACGGAUCGUCGCCUUGGUGAGCCGUUACCUCACCAACCAGCUAAUCCGACAUAGGCUCAUCCGAUAGCGCGAGGCCCGAAGGUCCCCCGCUUUCCCCCGUAGGGCCGUAUGCGGUAUUAGCCUGGGUUUCCCCAGGUUAUCCCCCACUACCGGGCAGAUUCCUAUGCAUUACUCACCCGUCCGCCGCUCGCCACCAGGGAGCAAGCUCCCCGUGCUGCCGCUCGACUUGCAUGUGUUAGGCCUGCCGCCAGCGUUCAAUCUGAGCCAGAAUCAAACUCUGA
rnacentral:rRNA from 1 species